rnacentral:lncRNA from 1 species
AGGGGCAAGGUAUUAAGAAUGUAUACGGUGCUACUUCAAUCAAUUAAGUUUUACUUUUUUGGUCAUUAUCUUUAUUUUAUAUGUAAAAUGUGGAUAUGGAUGGAAAGAUUUAAUAUAUGCUCUUUUUUUAUUUGUAGACAUACUUAUAUGUCCAACCAUUUCUUUAGGAAUUUACUCUAAUUGUUCCCGUAUCAUGGAAGAUGAAGAGUUUCCAAAUCCUUGGUAAAAUGCCUUGACUUUGUAUUAAUAUAUACUAUGUGUACUAUUUAACUCCUCUGUGAUUCAAAAACGUUUGAUACACUCGCCAAUUAGAACUUUUGGAUCCUUACUCGCUUUAACAAUUGUAUUGCUGAGUGAGGUAAGUGACGUCAAACCAAGGAAAAUGAUUGAUUUCAGAUUCUCUAAUUUUCAAGCCUUCAGGUACAAUUUCACACCCUUUUCAAGCUUUUAAGAUUUGUAGGAACUGUAGUAUUCUAUUUUGGAUGAUGUUGUAUUAGUAUUUAGUAGUUAUUCUUAGAUAGAAGUUAUGCUUUUAGUAUGAUCUAAAUUUCUUCUGUUAUUUUUGUAUUGUUUGAAUUGCAACUUCUGAUAUAUUAGCAGACUGGCAGACGAUACCAAAACACCAUAGUUUAUCAUAUUCAUAAUUACAAUUCUGCAAUUGAAAGGAUGAUCAUACAGUAGGAGACUAAUGAUGUUUGGAAAUGAUUUAGGUAAUAUUCAUUUCCUUAAUGAGGUAUUAUCUGUAUUUUUGACACACAUAAUAUUUUAUGAAGAAGUUCUCACAUUUUAUGUGAUUAUGCAUGUGGGAUAGGUUUUGCUUUAAAAAAUUGUUGUUCAACUUUUCCUUUAUUGAAUUGAAAAUCUUAAGUUACGAGUAGUAAAUUGAAAUGAAAGGAUAAAAACGUAGCUAUAACAUGUUUUUAUCUAAGUCAGGCGCUCAAAUUAUUAAUGUUAGAGCUAAGGAUAAUGUCAAAGCAAGUCUGACCCGUUCCUUUGUAUCAUUAUCUUUAAUUUGCUUGAACUUAUAAGGUUCUUAUCGUUUUGUUAGAUAUAGAAGCUACAACGUCUAAGUGCAGUAAUUUAAAUAGCAUCUUUGUUGAGCUUUGUAAAACAAAUAGCAUCCUAAAGUACAUGAUCUUUAGGAGGAAAAGAAAAAAAAUUCUAUCUGUAAUAUCUUAAGAUGGCUUCCUAGUAGCCAAAAUAAAUCUAUCCAUAAAUCACCUUCUUAUGAAUUUAUCUUUAAUAGAGAUUGUGGCUCACUUCUAUCCCAAUUUUCCCAAGAGAGGGCUUGAGCAAAUGUGUACUCUAAAAGGUGUUUGUAGUUUACCCAAAAACAUGACUUGUUCAAGCAGAUUAAGAUGAAAUUGACUCUUAAAAGGAUUAGUUUGGGCAAAUAGUGAAAUUGAUAGACUUUAACAGAAACUUGUGUGGACUAUUUCUGCUGUAUUCACUUUUCAAUAAUUUUCAGGAACAACAUAUAGUGAGUUGAUGUUCUCCAUGGUACAUUGGAUUGUUCAGAAGUUGCGACACCAAUAGAAUAUGAAUGAUAAACUGUAAAUGCAGAAUGUUCCUAACAACUUUGAGCAUUCUCCCUUUUUUUUCUUACUUUUUGAUUGUUUUGUUUGGGUGCAAUUUUUUUGAGUUGUGCCAACAACUCCUAUGCUAUGAUUUUUUGAAUGAAGAAGAUUAGCUACUACGAAGCGAACUCCGGCAUCCUCUACAUAUGAUAAACAAUGACAUGCUAAUCUUAUAUAUCAAAACUGAAACAUCUUUUAUAUCCCUCUUCUAAAUAAGGGUAAUUAUUUUGAUUGUAUUACAUUAGUUAGUAUUUGCAGAUCAUUCAAGUCGGCAUCAUACUGAUGUCUGCUGUACAUAUUCAGAAUAUUUCUAAUAGUAUAUAAUAUAUGAUAUAUGAUAUUAUCCAUCUUCUGCAAAAGCUAUCACCCUUGAUUCAUUAGUAUUAAUAUUUUUACAAGCAUAAUAUUUUGACUAAGCACGGUCCUCCCCCAUCUAGUAUACAUAGAGGUUAAAGUUGUGUUUAAAUUUUUACCUGAAGUCGUCCUCCUCCUUCGAGGUUACGGAAGCUUUAUGUUAUAUUCCUUUUCUCUCUUCUCUUUUCUAAAUAUAAAAUAUUAAGUGACAAACUCCAAUAGUUUAUCUUAAUAAAUAUGGGUCAGUAGUAAGGAUAUUAAAUAAAUUAUUGACUUGACUCAUUAACCACCAAUUAAAUAAAUUAUUUUAUAUUACCCAUCAAUUAAAUAAUGAUAGUUAAUAAAUGGUCCAAAAUAUUCAUUUAGAAUGUAUCGAAAAAGUUUUUUAUGAAAGAAAAGGGUCUAGUGUUCGAAACGACCUAACGGAUAGUUACAAUAACUCUAUUGUUCAACCAUCAAUUCCACGGUCACUUCUACUCCACUAGAAAAUACAUUGUAUUAUUUUAAGAAAAAAAAUUCAUAGUUCUAUUUUAGUUGUUCUAUAGAGCUUUUUCUUCUUUCUAACCGUUGAUUUUUUGUUUUUGUAAAAUCAUACAUUAACAAGUACAUUUUUUAUUGCAUUUUCAUCUUACAUUUCUUCAAUGUACUAUAAAUUGCUUACAUGAAUGAUCUUCAUUUCAACUACUAUUCAUCGCCUUCUUAAUUUCCUCAAUAUUUUGAGGGGCAAAGAGAAGUCACGAUAAUUUUUUUCGAAUUCAUCGAUCAAGCUCUAUACGAAUUGGAUGAACUUCAUACGUAAAGUUAAAUUAUUUCUACAUAUAAAAAUAUUGAUAUUCUCUUUGGGACAAAAAUUAAAAUGUGUGUCACUUAAAUUUGGAAGGAGAGUAAAAUAGUUUCAAAAAUAUAUUCUUAGAUUAAGUAACACUUGGUUCUUCAAGCUAUAAAUAGCUCUAUUUUUCAUCCAUCAAUUCCACGACCACUUCUACUCCAAAAGAAAUUUCCUUUUUUCUGUUUCAAGAAAAAUAAUAAUUUAAAGUUCUAUUUCAACUAUUUUAAAGAGUUGUUCUUCUUUUUAACUAUUGAUUUUUUGUUUGUGUAAAACAUACAUUAAUCGGUACAUUUUUUGUUACAUUUUCAUCCUACAUUUCUUAAAUUGUAUCAUCACUAUAUUAUAACAAAUAACUUACACGUGAAUGAUCGUCAUUUCAACAGCUAUUCAUCGUGUUCUCAAUUUCAUCAACAUUUUGGGGGCAGAGAGAAGUCACGACAACAUUUCAUGAAUUCAACGAUCAAGCUCUAUACAAAUUGGAUGAAUUUCGUAAAUCGUAUGUACACUUACAAAAUAAAAAGGUUCCCAAGUCUUUGUAGUCAUGAUUCAACUUCUUGCCCCUUUACACACCAAGGAGAAAAAACAUGUUGUCGUGAUCCUAGACAAUAUAACUAUUUACCAAUUUCUUGUCCGAAAUAUAAAUUUGCAUCGUGCAUAAGAGGUGACUAUAGUACUAUUACUUCUGAAUGACAAAACAACCAAGUACCUUUUCCUAAAUGUCUUGUGUAUCCUAAUGAUGUGACAUCUAAUAUGGACCCCACAUUUUCAAUCACAUUUUUUGUUAAAUACUUUGGAUAUAGAGUAAUAAUUAGUCUAUUUUAUAGGAAUUUACACUUCAUAUAAUUUUUCUCCUUGUUUAUGUGCAUUUUGAUGAGAUUUACAUUCAUGUGGGGUUGGUAGUUUCUCUCCUACUCUAUUCAUGCUAGCUUGAGUCCCAUUCGAAGACGAAUGUCCCCAAGAGGAAAAUAUUAUAACACCUCGAAAAUUGAAAAGUCAAAAUGAAAAGGAAAGGUUUAAGUUUUGGCUACUACUUCAGACCCACGAGACCCAUCUAAGAUUCGUAGAAGCAUAUACGGGUCAUAGAUGGCAUUCGUAGGGACUCAGUUGAAUUACAUGAUUUAUUAUUGAUUUCAUAUGGACCCAUACAUUAUACGUGAUCAUGACUAUGAAUUUAUGAAAGAAACUCAUGAACUUAUGAAUGAUGAUAUAUGAAUGUUAUGCAUGUCUUAUGAAAAUGAUGUUUUAUGAACUAAGGAUGCUUUCGAGAUAAAUGUCAAUGAAUUGUGAAAGGUUUUCUCACAUUGUAUGAAAUCAUGAUUGUGAAAGGUUUUCUCGCGUAUGUAUGAGACAAUAUUUAAAGGAGCUACUCUUAUACGACUUUAUGAUUUGGAUUGGUAUUAUGAUUAUUGUCCUUCCUAAAGUUAUGCUUUGAUAAUUGAUUUUAUCUAUUUCGUUGGGAUUUAACUUAGCAUCAAGAGGACUUUGAGGUGGAGGCUCAAAUAGGGUAGCCUCUAGUAGCUAUCUCUAGUUCCAAACUACGUGUCACCGUAGGAUUAUCUUAAAUGACCUAGCUAGUAGAUCCAUAUAGAAUUAAUGAUAUGAGACAAAGCUCUACCUUGACAAGUAGACUCUCCCUUUUCGGUGUGAGAGUUACACCAGAUUCUAUGUUAUAGAUCACAUGAUCUAUUAUCGAUUAAAGCUAAUAUCCCACAAAAGAACUAUGAUUUUCCUUAAAGCUUCCAUGAUGUAUUUAGCUUUGACCUU